rnacentral:tRNA from 13 species
GCAGUUUUGGCGCAGUGGUUAAGGCUAUGGACUCGAAAUCCAUUGGGGUUUCUCCUCGUAGGUUCGAAUCCUGAAGGCUGCG